AUGCCGCGUGAGUGAUGAAGGCCUUNGGGUUGUAAAGCUCUUUCACCCGGGACGAUAAUGACGGUAGUGGGAGAAGAAGCCCCGGCUAACUUCGUGCCAGCAGCCGCGGUAAUA
rnacentral:rRNA from 1 species